UUUCCAUGUAGACCCAUGCAUCACCCAUCGUCCACACAAUUACUCCCCAUCAUUAGUUUUGCCGGUCUCUACGUCUUCUUCAUCAAAUCGUUUCUUUUCAUCUCCUUCACUAUUUUCGGACGGAUGGAUCUAUGUUUUGCCUAUUCAUCUUCUCUUGAUAACCCUCCUUUUAAUCCAUGGGUUCGUUCCCGUCACCUACACCAAAGCUGAAUCAAUCAAUUGCUUGAUGGCAGGAAACACUCACAUUGGAGGAAGAGGCGUUGGCAGAGAAAGGGCUUGCAUCGUCUCAGCUGGUGUGUGCCAAGCGGCUUGCCACGAGACUCCACGGUACGGUCGCCGGCGUUUUGCACCUUCCACCGUUGUCUCCUGUAGGUGUAUAGCUCCCUUCCUCUGGCCGCCCAUGUCCCUGCUACAGCCAGUGGACCUCCACAGAUCGGGGACGACAAGGGCACCGACGACCAUGGUCAGUCCCGUGACGCCAGGCAUGUUCGACCUCUUUCGGUGGCUUUCUGCUGCCCCUGCAUGUGGAGCUCAACAUGGAGGAACUCGUCGUGGCCCGAGUAUCGCUCUGGGCGCGGCUGCCCACCGCCCCGCAUGACAACUGGUCCAACGCCCACCAAGUGUUUGGUGUAAUGUCGAUAUGGGCGGAUGGCUAUUGGUAAAAACAAAAUUCAGUUUAGUCUAGAAAUUGUAUUGCUAUACCCUUAAUUUUGUGUUCUUCCAUAAGAUUAGAUUUGAAUUUACCUCUAACAUAUCGAAUGUAUUGAAUCUGAAGUACGAUACCAAAAUGAAUGACUUACGUGAGUUUGUGAGA